GAGGCCUUAGCUCAGCGAGAGCGCCGGUCGUCCGGCAGACGCGGGUUCGACGCCCGCAGGCUUCGCCA
rnacentral:tRNA from 1 species